AUGCCGCUCUCCAAUCUGCUCUGGGUGUUCCUGGUCUUCACCUUCUCUGGAUCUGGUGUAGCCCAGAAAGUUACUCAAGAUCAACCAGACAUAUUCACUCAGAUUGGAGAGGCAGUCAUUGUGAACUGUUGGUGUGAAACAAGUUGGAGCAGUUACAACAUUUUUUGGUAUAAGCAACCUCCCAGUGGAGAGAUGAUUUUCCUUACAAGGGAUGGCCGCUACUCUAUAAAUUUUCAGAGAUCACUUAAAUCCUCUAGCCUCAUGAUUUCAACCUUACAACUGGAAGAUUCUGCAAAGUACUUCUGUGUUCUCUUUGAACUCACAGUGCUCAAGGCUCACAGUAAUGGGCGAACUUCAGAAGUUUGCCAUCAUGCUACAAGCAUACUUGGUCAAAGACAAAGAGAACAUGAGUAA